AAAACAGAUUGCUGUGGAACGGUUUGUGAUUGCUAUUUUGAAAACCUGGUCAUAUAUUUUUAGCCUGCAAAACCUCUGCUUUGACACAUUUCCUCAUGGGGACACACUGCAGCUGCUGAAAGAAGGGAAGUCCCAGCACUGCUUUCUCACCAUGGAACAGCAGGAGAGGAAAGCCUUUUGAAUUCUAGCCAUGAUAACCCUAAAGUUUACAUGGCCACAGACUCCAGCUUUGCCAGGAUUUUGGUAUAUGAUGUUAGGCAAUAAGAUGUUAUUCUUCUGCAUGUGGAUAUCCAAUUUCUCAGCACCAUUUGUUGUAAAGGCUGUCCUUUCUCCAUUGAAUGGUCUUGGCAAUCUUGACAAAAAUCAUUAGAGACUUUUUAACAAGAUGGCCAACUAGAUGCAACUGGGAAGUGCUGACUCCACUGAAAGAGACGAAUAUUUUGACUAAACCAACAUAAUUUGAACAGAUUUUUGGAGAGAAAAUACUGAGACUGGAUGCAGAAGUGACAUAGAAGCUGAGACUGAAGAGAGAGAAAGCUGGGAACCCUGGGCAUGGUGCUCGAAUGCUAGAGUUGGUUCCCACCUCCAAAUGGCUCUUGGGGAAGGGGGCCAGUUUGGAAAGGAUGUGAUCUAUCUCCCUGCUGUGGCUUCUGCCUGAAGGACUCCAGCAGCCUGGAACACCUAACAAAAGAAACACGG
rnacentral:lncRNA from 10 species